rnacentral:rRNA from 1 species
UACGUAGGGGGCUAGCGUUGUCCGGAUUUAUUGGGCGUAAAGAGCGUGUAGGCGGCCAUGUAGGUCCGGUGUGAAAACUCGAGGCUUAACCUCGAGAUGUCAUCGGAAACCAUUUGGCUAGAGUCCGGAAGAGGAGAGUGGAAUUCCUGGUGUAGCGGUGAAAUGCGUAGAUAUCGAGAGGAACACCUGCGGCGAAGGCGGGUAGCUGGGCCGACACUGACGCUGAUGCGCGAAAGCCAGGGGAGCGAACGGG